UACGUAGGUGGCAAGCGUUGUCCGGAAUUAUUGGGCGUAAAGCGCGCGCAGGUGGCUCCUUAAGUCUGAUGUGAAAGCCCACGGCUCAACCGUGGAGGGUCAUUGGAAACUGGGGAACUUGAGUGCAGAAGAGGAAAGUGGAAUUCCAAGUGUAGCGGUGAAAUGCGUAGAGAUUUGGAGGAACACCAGUGGCGAAGGCGACUGUCUGGUCUGUAACUGACACUGAGGCGCGAAAGCGUGGGGAGCAAACAGG
rnacentral:rRNA from 1 species